UGGGGAAUUUUGGACAAUGGGCGCAAGCCUGAUCCAGCCAUGCCGCGUGGGUGAAGAAGGCCUUCGGGUUGUAAAGCCCUUUCGGCUGGGACGAAAAGGUCCGUGUUAACACCACGGACUCAUGACGGUACCAGCAGAAGAAGCACCGGCUAACUACGUGCCAGCAGCCGCGGUAAUACGUAGGGUGCAGGCGUUAAUCGGAAUUACUGGGCGUAAAGCGUGCGCAGGCGGUUUGCUAAGAGAGAUGUGAAAUCCCCGGGCUUAACCUGGGAACUGCGUUUCUAACUGGCAGGCUUGAGUGUGGCAGAGGGGGUGGAAUUCCACGUGUAGCAGUGAAAUGCGUAGAGAUGUGGAGGAACACCGAUGGCGAAGGCAGCCCCUGGGCUAACACUGACGCUCAUGCACGAAAGCGUGGGGAGCAAACAGGAUUAGAUACCCUGGUAGUCCACGCCCUAAACUAUGUCAACUGGUUGUCGGAGAAGCAAUUCCUU
rnacentral:rRNA from 1 species